rnacentral:rRNA from 1 species
CAGCAGCCACGGUAAUACCUAGGUGGCAAGCGUCGUCCGGAAUUAUUGGGCGUAAAGGGCUCGCGGGCGGUUUCUUAAGUCUGAUGUGAAAGCCCCCGGCUCAACCGGGGAGGGUCAUUGGAAACUGGGAAACUUGAGUGCAGAAGAGGAGAGUGGAAUUCCACGUGUAGCGGUGAAAUGCGUGGAGAUGUGGAGGAACACCAGUGGCGAAGGCGACUCUCUGGUCUGUAACUGACGCUGAGGAGCGAAAGCGUGGGGAGCGAACAGGAUUAGAUACCCGCGUAGUCCCUGUCUCUUAUAC